CCUAUUAGUGACACUCUUUUGAAAUAUAAUUUUGCACUGAAUACACGCGUACACCUAGCGGCCGAUACCAAGUUUCAAGUAUCUUUUUUCAAAGUAAAUUGUACUGUAAAAAUAUAAUUAAAGGUUCAAUAUAACUUUUAAAUAAUUUCUUACUGGCCAUGGAUAAAUUGGGCUGUGAUUUAUACAACUUGGAACUCAUCGUAAGAUACUGUUAAUAAAUUUGAAUGGCGUCAUAAGAUCUCAAGGUCUACAUUCUUCGUGGAGAAUUUGGAGCAGACUAUUUUAAAACAUUAACGCAGAACGAAACUAAGAAAACGAACUAUGGUGUUGACAGAAGAGGGCCCAGCAAGGAUAAUACUACAUUUGGAAGUUCAACAUUGACAUCAUAAACUAUGAAACUAGUAUCGUUUGCUUAAAAUUAUGCGGCAAACUGUUCAAACAAUAGGACCUUAGUUAAGGGUAAGACCUUAAGGGGUCGAAAGGUUCUAGAGUGGAGGCCACGUACAGGCAAGCGAAAUGUCGGACGCCCGCCUACACGGUGGACGAACGACCUGGCUAAGGUCGCAGGAAGUCACUGGAUGCAGGCCUCUUCCGACGGUCGACGUGGAGAUCCUUGGGGGAGGCCUGUGUUCAGCAGUGGACUUCCUGUGGCAGAGAUGAUGAUGAUAAUGAGAGGACCUUACCAGAGACCAAGUAUGCUUCCACUAGACUAGACCAAUGAAGCUCAUUCUUGUAACAAUGUACCAUCAACAUGUUUAAUAGUCAAAUUAUUGAACAAAUAUUGUCAAACGGAUUAAUUUAUAAAUCAAUAGGACAACUUAUACUUACAUGGCACUUAAAGCAAUAUUUAGAAGAUUAUUUUGUAUUCGUUUGUUGCGAAGCACUACACAACUUUAUGGAAAAUAAUAGUAAUUGUUGAAGUUGUUAAAACUAGGCUUGUUGACAGCAUGCGAGAUCUUUAUUUGAUUUUUGAAUGUACUUUACAAAAACUAAAAUUCUUAAUAACUUUCAAAUUUCUAAUUACGUUUUAGCCUUUCCAAGUACUUAAAAUAUAUUGUUAUGUACCUAUAAGCACUAUAGGUACCUACGUAACGGCAUUGCUAUUUUGAUAUUAAUUUUGCCAAAAAUUAAGUAUAUAUAGAUUUACCGUUAGAUAUAAAAUAUAAGAUAGAUGUUACCCAUUCAAAAGUGUAAUUAUAAAGAACGCUUUAACAACCUGAAAUAUAACUCUUUUUUAUAAUAUACAAAUAUAUUUAAUUGACAUCUAAUAUUAUUCUUACUUACCUACGUCCUAAAUCGGCAUCUAGGCAUCAUGUCUACAUUGUCAGCUUGUUGGAACGAAACACUACACUUCUAGGAAACUGACAGUUGUUAAAGUAACUGGUUUCAUAGUGUAUAGGCUAUUUGUGAUAUAACUACUACUAUUAAAUUUAACUAUUGUUUCUAAUUAUGCUUAUCUCGAGGUAGUAACGGUUAUUAUGGGUAUGUGAUAUUACUUAUACUUAUUAAAAGAAUAUUUAUAGGUGAACAUUCUGUUCCUCUUUGAUUGUUUUUCACUUUAAUAAUCAUUUAGAGAAUCAUUAAAAUGUGAAAAUAAAGUUUUACCUUUUAUAAUAUCAACGGUUUGCAGGAUGAUUGUUUUAAGGUAAAUUUAUUUGCGACAUUCAGUUUUAUACAUAUUAGGAAUCAGCACACAUUCCCCAGUUUUUUGAAACCAGUAUCAAUUUUUCGAAAAUAUAUUACGCUUAAGUUCAUUAGUCUGCCAUCCAUCGAUAUACUUUUAGACCCUCUAUUAUACUCUUGCUCCGGCGAAGCCCACACUUUUUCAUAACAUAAUGUGAACAAACUGUCGUGUUUCGCUUACGUCGAACCGAGUAAGUACUGAUUCUUAAAACCAUGAGUGCAAAGCUCGUAUGUCAAUUACCUUCUUUAGUUCAUACCCGCAUCAUUACCGUCUAUUCAUGAUCGGUGUCGUUACGUCGAUGUACACGCAUUUCUUUUCUGUUUUUGACAUUUCAUCAUCAUCAUCGUCAUCUCUGCCACAGGAAGUCCACUGCUGAACAUAGGCCUCCCCCAAGGAUCUCCACGUCGACCUGUUGGAAGCGGCGGCGGUUGUUUUGACAUUUACCACUUCAUAUUUCGAAUGUCUAUAACUUUUUUAAUAACUCUGCUUAAGAUUGGUCUAUGGUAAUAAAAAAAGACUCUUCUAUCCAAUAAUAGGCCGAUAAUGGUCAUUUUUCUUUAGUCAUGGAGCGAGUAAUCAUACGCGGCUCUUGAGGUGACUUUGAAGAUCACCAGCUAAUUAGCGAUAAUCAUACGGUUUCCGUGGGAUUCGGCUGGUAAACUGUACCUCACACCGCUUGUCGGAAGCUGUGGAAAGCAAGAGGAGUAGCCGUCGCGUCGGUAUAUAGCAUAGACAUUUGAAAGCGCAGCAACCAUAGUUGUCAUUGCAAUAAUCUAGGUAGGGCCUGAUAUAAUGAGGCGAUCGCCAUUCGGUGCUGUUAGUCGUAGUGGUGGUAUAACAACGUAUAUUAUUCCGUCCAAAUUGUUGAAAGGCCAAAAAACCUAUAGUCAGUCCCAUCGAUUUUAGCAAGUCUCUUAACUGGUAAAUUUGAAUGGGUAGACAUUAAGUACUUACUAAAAAAUUACAUUUCAAAAUAUAGUUUUUUUUUAAUUAGAUUAAGUAUGAAUAUUUAUGCUUUAGAUUUAAGUUAUAAUUUUUAGAUAUAGGUAGUUAAGUACUAUAAAAAAAACAUCUCAUUUAUACAUUAAGUAAGGGCCAGGAAAAUAUAAAGCCUCGCCAUGUUGUACUUAAAUAAUCUAGAACUAAUUUAUUAUACUCCCAACGUUAAAAUUAAAACAAAAACCAAUUCAGGCUAUGUAAAUGAGUAUACUAUAACAUGAGUAGGUACUAAUCUAUUUACAUUUAAAUAAUAUUUUCUGCUUUGCUUAUUCUUAUGUUGCGAUUUUUGGUUCGACUUGGUCUUGCUUUCCAUAUAUACUUAUUAUAAUUCUCUCUGGUCUAGCUCUAGUGACGGCAUAUUGCAUAUUCUGAGUAGAGUAAAAGGCCCAAAGUUCCAUUUUUCAGGACGUUCAGGCAGAAACUGAUUUAUUUCACCAUCAACUAGUAAAUAUUUACCUAAUAAAAGCGAAUAAGUUUAUUCAAAGAUGAAAAUGAUGGUAAAGUUCUUAAAGCUACUUCGUUAACAAUAUAUUAUUGAAUGUAUGAUAAAAAUAAAAUAUCACUUAACAAAAAGAUGUACCUGUAAUGAAUUGUAGGUAAGUAAACGAUAUUGUAAACAUUAGGCUUAUUCAAAAGAAAACUCAGUAUAGUGAAAUGUUAAGAUUUAAAUCAAUAAAAGUUUAUAUACCUAUAGGCUAUAGUGAUAUAGAAUAUACCUAAGUAUUCAUCGACUAUUUAAGGCGCGCGCACGCUUUAAAUUUUUUACGGAUAUGUUACUACAUUACUAUGAAAUUUAUACUGAAGUUGCCGUAGUUGCUCCAGGAACUGUUAGGUAGCAGUGUAGUGUUUCUCGGUAACAUGUUGAUAACGUCUAUGCGACGCCUAACAGUAUCCACACUAGCUCAAAGUCAUUACAAUAAAGAAAAAUGUAAUGCAUUUUAAAUUAAUAGCCAAGAAGAAUGUAUAAACUAUUUAAGGAUAUAAUAAACAAUUUGCUGGCUUACUGUACCAAAGUCCAAUGUUUGUUUUUAUUCAUGUUGAAAAAAUGGGCAUCCCCUGGGUUAAAUUUUGGGACCAUUCUUAUUUUUAGUCUAUAUUAACGACCUACCCUACAUGGUUAACAAAAUGGCUAAAGUUCUAUGACACUUCAAAAAGCAUGUAUAAAUGUAAAUAAAUGUUUAUUUUAUAA